AGAAGAUGAUGGCCUGCACAUAACUGCGGAUUCCACGCAUCUCUCCUCACUUAUUUGCUUCCCGUCUGAGAGGAUGAAGUGUGUCUUCCAUCACUCAAGGGUCAUUUAUCCCCAUAACGCAUCCUGAGAGACAAGGAUUGAAGGCUGCUGCUGCUGAGUCACGAGGUGCUGAAGGCCCUCUGUGGGAGAUCGUGGAGGCAGAGACACCUCUUCACCCGGCCUAAGUAAAAGCUCACAGCUGGAUCGCAGAGGCGGACUUGAAACUCCUUCUCCAUGGGGAUCAGGAGCUCACACAGGAAGAACCUCAGAGAGCAGGCAGCUAACACCACCAGCAUGGGGGAAGCUGUGCCUGCCUCUCAGUUAUGUUGCAACCACUUACUGAGUUCCUACUAUAUGAGACAAGAUUUGAUGAGAUCCUUGCCCUGGAGAAGUGGGCCAGCUGGGGAUGGAUACAGGUUGCGUGGGCCACAGACCCAAUUAAUUUUUGGCAAAUUCAACACCUUUGUUGGAGUUGGAGUCAUGCGACACCCACACAGUUAA
rnacentral:lncRNA from 1 species